GAUGAACGCUGGCGGCGUGCUUAACACAUGCAAGUCGAACGGAAAGGCUCCUGCUUGCAGGGGUACUCGAGUGGCGAACGGGUGAGUAACACGUGGGUGAUCUGCCCUGCACUUCGGGAUAAGCCUGGGAAACUGGGUCUAAUACCGGAUAGGACCACAUUUUGGAUGGUGUGGUGGAAAGUUUUUCGGUGUGGGAUGAGCUCGCGGCCUAUCAGCUUGUUGGUGGGGUAAUGGCCUACCAAGGCGUCGACGGGUAGCCGGCCUGAGAGGGUGUACGGCCACAUUGGGACUGAGAUACGGCCCAGACUCCUACGGGAGGCAGCAGUGGGGAAUAUUGCACAAUGGGCGCAAGCCUGAUGCAGCGACGCCGCGUGGGGGAUGACGGCCUUCGGGUUGUAAACUUCUUUCGCUAGGGACGAAGCGCAAGUGACGGUACCUGGAGAAGAAGCACCGGCUAACUACGUGCCAGCAGCCGCGGUAAUACGUAGGGUGCGAGCGUUGUCCGGAAUUACUGGGCGUAAAGAGCUCGUAGGUGGUUUGUCGCGUCGUUUGUGUAAGCCCGCAGCUUAACUGCGGGACUGCAGGCGAUACGGGCAUAACUUGAGUGCUGUAGGGGAGACUGGAAUUCCUGGUGUAGCGGUGGAAUGCGCAGAUAUCAGGAGGAACACCGAUGGCGAAGGCAGGUCUCUGGGCAGUAACUGACGCUGAGGAGCGAAAGCAUGGGUAGCGAACAGGAUUAGAUACCCUGGUAGUCCAUGCCGUAAACGGUGGGCGCUAGGUGUGAGUCCCUUCCACGGGGUUCGUGCCGUAGCUAACGCAUUAAGCGCCCCGCCUGGGGAGUACGGCCGCAAGGCUAAAACUCAAAGGAAUUGACGGGGGCCCGCACAAGUGGCGGAGCAUGUGGAUUAAUUCGAUGCAACGCGAAGAACCUUACCUGGGCUUGACAUACACCAGAUAGGGCCAGAGAUGGUCUUUCCCUUUGUGGUUGGUGUACAGGUGGUGCAUGGUUGUCGUCAGCUCGUGUCGUGAGAUGUUGGGUUAAGUCCCGCAACGAGCGCAACCCUUGUCUUAUGUUGCCAGCACGUUAUGGUGGGGACUCGUGAGAGACUGCCGGGGUUAACUCGGAGGAAGGUGGGGAUGACGUCAAAUCAUCAUGCCCCUUAUGUCCAGGGCUUCACACAUGCUACAAUGGUCGGUACAACGCGUCUGCGAGCCUGUGAGGGUGAGCUAAUCGCUGUAAAGCCGGUCGUAGUUCGGAUUGGGGUCUGCAACCCGACCCCACGAAGUCGGAGUCGCUAGUAAUCGCAGAUCAGCAACGCUGCGGUGAAUACGUUCCCGGGCCU
rnacentral:rRNA from 1 species